AUUGAACGCUGGCGGCAGGCUUAACACAUGCAAGUCGAGCGGGGGAAGGUAGCUUGCUACCGGACCUAGCGGCGGACGGGUGCGUAAUGCUUAGGCAUCUGCCUAUUAGGGGGGGACAACAUCUCGAAAGGGAUGCUAAUACCGCUUAUGUCUACGGGAGAAAGCAGGGGAUCUUCGGACCUUGCGCUAAUAGAUGAGCCUAAGUCGGAUUAGCUAGUUGGUGGGGUAAAGGGCUACCAAGGCGACGAUCUGUAGCGGGUCUGAGAGGAUGAUCCGCCACACUGGGACUGAGACACGGCCCAGACUCCUACGGGAGGCAGCAGUGGGGAAUAUUGGACAAUGGGGGGAACCCUGAUCCAGCCAUGCCGCGUGUGUGAAGAAGGCCUUAUGGUUGUAAAGCACUUUAAGUGAGGAGGAGGCUACUUUAGUUAAUACCUAGAGAUAGUGGACGUUACUCGCAGAAUAAGCACCGGCUAACUCUGUGCCAGCCGCCGCAGUAAAAC
rnacentral:rRNA from 1 species